rnacentral:rRNA from 1 species
AGGACGAACGCUGGCGGCGUGCUUAACACAUGCAAGUCGAGCGGAAAGGCCCUUCGGGGUACUCGAGCGGCGAACGGGUGAGUAACACGUGGGCAACCUGCCCCUAGCUCUGGGAUAACUCCGGGAAACCGGGGCUAAUACCGGAUACGAUCUUCCAUGGCAUCUCGGAAGAUGGAAAGUUUUUCGGCUAGGGAUGGGCCCGCGGCCUAUCAGCUUGUUGGUGAGGUAACGGCCACAAGGCGACGACGGGUAG